UACGAAGGGGGCUAGCGUUGCUCGGAAUCACUGGGCGUAAAGCGCACGUAGGCGGAUUGCUAAGUCAGGGGUGAAAUCCUGGAGCUCAACUCCAGAACUGCCUUUGAUACUGGCGAUCUUGAGUCCGGGAGAGGUGAGUGGAACUGCGAGUAUAGAGGUGAAAUUCGUAGAUAUUCGCAAGAACACCAGUGGCGAAGGCGGCUCACUGGCCCGGUACUGACGCUGAGGUGCGAAAGCGUGGGGAGCAAACAGG
rnacentral:rRNA from 1 species